GAAUGUUCUUUAAGGCACUCUGACAAGUAAGACAGAAGGCAGAGGAGUGCACAAUAAAGGAGCCUCUAGACAGCCCCGGAGGUAGGAGGACAACAAGAAGAAUGCAGUGUCAAAAGGGCAGAAUGUUUCAAAAGGAGGCAGAGCAUGACUGUUUGGGAGGUUACCAAGGGUUCACUUAGUGGUCAGGCCACCGUCUGGCCAUUGACUUUGGCACAAUGUAGAGAAUAAGAUUUGUAAGAGUGGGUGGUAUUGGUCAGUGCAGCUAAAAAUACUGGCCAGAUAUUUCUCUCCAGACUGAGUCCAUCUUAAUCACCACAGUACAGAGCCUGGCACAGAGAACAUACUCCACAAAUACAUCUUUGAAUGGACAUAGAAAGAGAGAUCCAUGCAGCUCCUCAUGUGAGUGAGAAAUUAAUUCAGCUGUUCCAGAACAAGAGUGAAUUCACCUUUUUGGCCACUGUACAGCAGAAGCCAUCCACUUCAGGAGUGAUACUGUCCAUUCGAGAACUGGAGCACAGCUAUUUUGAACUGGAGAGCAGUGGCCUGAGGGAUGAGAUUCGGUAUCACUACAUACACAAUGGG
rnacentral:sRNA from 1 species